rnacentral:ncRNA from 4 species
AGUGACCGACCCGACCGCCUGCCCAUUGCCGGGACAUGGCACCAGCGGUAAGAAAACCUUAUUGCUUCUUCU